ACGGGUGAGGAAUACAUCGGAAUCUGCCUUGUUGUGGGGGAUAACGUAGGGAAACUUACGCUAAUUCCGCAUAAGACCGUAAGGUGAAAGUGGGGGACCGCAAGGCCUCACGCGACAAGAUGAGCCGAUGUCGGAUUAGCUAGUUGGUGAGGUAAUGGCUCACCAAGGCGACGAUCCGUAGCUGGUCUGAGAGGAUGAUCAGCCACACUGGAACUGAGACACGGUCCAGACUCCUACGGGAGGCAGCAGUGGGGAAUAUUGGACAAUGGGCGCAAGCCUGAUCCAGCCAUGCCGCGUGGGUGAAGAAGGCCUUCGGGUUGUAAAGCCCUUUUGUCCGGGAAGAAAUUGUACGGGUGAAUAUCCCGUGCCGAUGACGGUACCGGAAGAAUAAGCACCGGCUAACUUCGUGCCAGCAGCCGCGGUAAUACGAAGGGUGCAAGCGUUACUCGGAAUUACUGGGCGUAAAGCGUGCGUAGGCGGUUUGUUAAGUCUGUCGUGAAAGCCCUGGGCUCAACCUGGGAAUUGCGAUGGAUACUGGCAAGCUAGAGUACGGUAGAGGAUGGUGGAAUUCCCGGUGUAGCGG
rnacentral:rRNA from 1 species